GACACUUUGACCGAGUGGUUAAGGUGCUGGCCUGCUAAGCCAGUGGGUUCGCCCGCGUGAGUUCGAAUCUCACAGGUGUCG
rfam:Aspergillus aculeatus ATCC 16872 unplaced genomic scaffold ASPACscaffold_12, whole genome shotgun sequence.